rnacentral:lncRNA from 1 species
AAAUAUUCAAAGGCAUCGCAGGACCAGCCUCUUCCAACGUGUGAACCACCACCCCCGAGAGCCUCCAGGUGGCUGCUGGGCGGAGGGCGACACCAGGGCUGGGACAGCGGGGUCCUGCAGGAGGGACGCGAGGGCUGCGUGGUGAUGGAGCCAUGUGUACCACCGUCCUGCUGCUCGGCACGCUGGUCGUGAUGCUGCGGAGGCGCUUCUCCAACAAAGUCGAACCCGUGUGCUGAAGACUGGAGCUGUGCACAUGGGAUAAAGCUGCUGCGGUGCAGGAACGUCCCCAGCUCUGACGUUCCCAUGCGUCCUGGGCAAAGGACACAACCAUACAGCACAGGCAAGAUGAGAUUAUGUAAAAUCCCCAGCUCAUUGACCUCCUUCACGUCCCGUCUUCUAUUUAUAUGCCUUGGGGCUGCCAGGGACAGCACGGGGUGCCCUUGGUCUGCAUUGGCAGGGCUGGGGUGCUCAGCCAUGGGGUGGGGGUCAGGAGGACCCUGAAGCUGGCUCCCAUAGUCCCACAUGGAGAGGCUCUGAGGGUUUCCUCCUCACAGUGCUCACCUGGACCAACCUCCCCACCCAGGGACAGGGAGGUCCUUGGGCUUCAGCGUUUGGUUUUUGUCAUCCAGCAGGGUUCUGCUCGCUGCUAUGUGUGGUUAUGGAUGGCUGCUGGGGUUCCUUCCUCAACUUCUUUCCCCCAGUCCCCAGUGGAGCACGUGGGGUCAGGGCUGCACAAGGGGACACGAGGCUGGGGAGGUGGAGGUGCCACGAGCCAGAGCUUUGUGCGAGCCCUG